rnacentral:rRNA from 1 species
UGGCCGUACCAUGCUGAAUAUACCGGUUCUCGUUAGAUCACCGAAGUUAAGCAUCAUUGGGCGUGGUCAGUACUUGGGUGGGUGACCACCUGGGAAC